rnacentral:snRNA from 1 species
GGAUGUGAGGGGGUAAUCUGGUUGUGACAUCUGUCACCCCAUUGAUUGAUACGGUUAAUUUGGCUGAUCUGGAUGGCUAGGUGGGUGUCUCCUUCAUCCCUCACCACUCCAUGUAUGUCCCUCCCAAAGCUGUGUGCUGGGUCAAAAGAGGACACCCCUUCCUUGAACAGAGAUGAGCCAGUCUACAGAGGAGUGUGCUCAUAGCUUGCUCCCCUGCUAGAACCUUCCAACAAGCUCUCUCCUCUUACAAUUUGAUUCUUUUAAAUAUAAAGCAUCUAGUUAGAAAUGUGAGUAAGAGUGUUAUAUUCCUGGUUACUUAAAAAUAGCUAAUAGUAAGUGUUAG